rnacentral:rRNA from 1 species
ACGGAGGAUCCGAGCGUUAUCCGGAUUUAUUGGGUUUAAAGGGUGCGUAGGUGGCUUUUUAAGUCAGCGGUGAAAGUUUGUGGCUCAACCAUAAAAUUGCCGUUGAAACUGGAGGGCUUGAGUAUAUUUGAGGUAGGCGGAAUGCGUGGUGUAGCGGUGAAAUGCAUAGAUAUCACGCAGAACUCCAAUUGCGAAGGCAGCUUACUAAACUAUAACUGACACUGAAGCACGAAAGCGUGGGGAUCAAACAG